UAUAAUUGUUAAUUGUAGUAAAUGAAAUUUUGAUCACAGGUAACUACAGGUUGUUUCUAAGUGUAUUUGAAAAAACGGAGUCGGAUAAUCUGUGUAGGGGAUAUAAGAUGCUGCUGUUCUAACUGGAUACUGUUGAAACGCCGCCUGAAACAUGAGCAGUUCAGCACUGCAUUGUGAGUCUUGCCAAAAGAGUCAGCUGGAUAGCACUUCACUGCGGCCUUGUCUGUGUUUAAUGGAGCACAGUUUCAAAAACAGCAGCCAUCUCAGGGUACCUUGUAGUGGGACAAAAUGUCUUUUCACCAGCUGAUACAGUACAAUGUCAGCUUUAAGGUUUCUAUAUGGUUGCUUGGUUACUACUACUUUUUAAAAAAAAUUAGUUUACAAAAGCAGUUACUGUAACUAAAGUUACUCUUUUUUCCUUCUGUGGCUAAAGCAUUCUCUAAAUCAAGAAAGAAGCAACUGAAAGGAAACUGAAGAAAGCAGCUCUAUGCACAUGAGUGCAGAGUAAAUUAUUAUAUGGCAUUUUUUCUGCCUAUCUUAAAAUUAUAAACACUGAUUUAGCUUUACAAGAUCACUGACGCUGGUAAAUAUGCCCUUUUCACAGAAGAUAAUUGAAGAUUAAUUGUGAAAUAAGCCCUUUAGUCAGGAAGGGAGAUGAGGUGGUUAAUUGAUCCAGAAACAUAAGAACAGCAUUACUUUAGGGCAUAGGCACCAAAUUAAAACCUGGUUAUAAAGCCCUGCAAUUUAAUCCCAGUAAUGUAAACCUUCAUGUUUAUUGCUAAGUCAAUGUGCAAUAUAUGUAAGGAAGAAAAAAAAUUGUUCACCUUAUUUGUGGCAAAAUAUAGAUGUCUAAAUACUUAGUUUUGUGGGGAAGGGUGUGAAAUCUCAUUUUUCAUGGGCCUUUUUGGCAUUAAUAUUGCCAAAAUAUUGCCAAAUAAUACAUAAAAGGUGUAAAAGAAAAGAUCUCCUGCUUGUAGGAAGGGUUAGCCACAUACCACUUAAUCAGGCUGACUGUGUAGUCAGGGAAGGAAGAUCCCAAAAGUUUAAAUCUAAAUAUUACACGCUAUUGCAUUAUACAGCACAUUUAUUAAACAUGAAACCCCAAACCAAAAAUAACCAGAAAAUGGGACAUGUUCGUUUGUUCAUUCAUGUCAUCAUCAUUUUUUUAAACAGUGUGUAAAUGUUAUUUUUUGUCUGUGGGUUCACUGAUUAUUGUCAAUCUCAAAAUUGAUUUUUUGUCUUUUGUAUCUAAUGGUUCCACAAAGCCAUGACUUGUCUAAUCUAAAGCCUUGCAUUCCAUCUUGUGUUUCCAGAUUCCAGUCAAUCUUACUUUACUUAAGAAUUCUCAGCUUUACUUCACUGGAAUACUGUGUGCAGCUCUGCACAGCUGUAUUGAAGGUGUAUCUACUGGGAGUGGAACAGAUGAAGGAGAAGUCUUCCAAGGUCUCCAGAAGAGCACAGGACAUGAGCCACAGCUAGGAAAGAGUUUUAAUCUAAGCAUGUUGAACCUAGCCUUCAAGGCAGGCAGAAACAGAAUACUGGGAAAGACAUUUAAGCUGAGUAUGAGUGCUGGUGAGGAACUAUGUAUUCAUUUUGGUUUGCUUAUUCCCAGGCUGUCUCUGGUCCCCUCCCUGCUGUUGUGCAGCUAGUGUUUAUGUGGAUAUGUACAGAACCACAUCAGGAAACUCAUUCACUCAUUUCAUAGGGAAUCCUGCCUAUCUGCUUCUAACCUGGGGCACCAUUCUGAUUGAAUUUGCUGUGUUGGCACAACAGAAUGAUUAAUGAAAGUCCAGCUGCUGAAUGAUGCUGGACUAUAUUACAUAACUGAUACCCCACGUUCUUCCAGUUCUUAAGAUAUGAGGCAUCAGAAUUAAGGGCCAUGACUUCAUUCCAUCUUUCUGAAAGCAUGUAGAUCUUCACUCAAAAAUGCUAGAUGAGCCGUUCCAAAUAUAAACUAUCUAAUCUAGUAAAUUUUUUUUAAAUCUAAAUUCUUGAUUAUUGGCUGGUGCAGUUUUUCUGUGUGUAGGGUUUUGGGUUUUUUGUUGGUGUUGUUGCUUGGUUAGAGGCUUUUAGUUGAAGUCUGUAAUUGUUACUACCUGUAGUCUGGUGAAAGUUAGUGCCUCCUAAUUGUAUGUGAAUUAAACUUUUGUAUUACAUCCACACUAGGGGGCUGUGUUGCUUUAACAAUGUCUGUUUUGAGCAGUAAUGUACUAAGCAGAGCCCAAACAACUUGUAAGCAGUACUUUUCCCUACAUAAUAAAGUGAAUGGGAGCCGAAUAGUAAAGGGGGAUGACUUGCAAUUUAGACAAAUAUAGUAUAGGAGCAAAGAAACUUUAUUAUCUGUGUGCUUUGAUAAAAAAUUGAAAGGUUGAAGGAUGAAGUGAUGCUCUUGUUGUCAUGAGAUGAGUGGAAAGGCUGAGACCUGGUUACUUCAGUCAUGGCAUGACUCCUUACACCUAGGAUGCACUAACCCAGUUUGCUGGAACUGGGGACAGGCCUCAGGACAUUGACAUAGAGGUAUACUGGAGCUCAAGUGGAUGCAGUAUUGGAAAAUAAACUGAAGUCACCUCCUGUCACUGUAAAGCUGUUGGAGGUUGAGCAAGACUACCAGAGGUUAUGUGACAACAGCCAAAGGAGAGGAGCAACAUCUGGAGGUGAUCACACCUGGAAUGCCUGGUCCUGGGCUCCCCCUGCCAGAGUAGCAUGGACACACUGGAACAAGUCCAGAGAAGCACCACAAAGAUUAUCAGAGGACUGGAGCACCUCUUCUUAGAACUGAGAGAGCUGAGGCUGUUCAGCCUGAAGAAGAGGAGGCUGGGGCUGACCUUAUCAAGAUAUAUGAGUACCUCAUGGGGAGGUAAAGAAGAUGUGCCUCGUGACAGGACAUAAUGUAAUGUAAUGGGCACAAACUGAAAACCAGGAGUACUCAUUUAAACAUAAGAAAACCCUUUUUUCCUGUGUGGGAUUUUGAGAAAUUGGACAGGUUUCUCAGAGUGGUUGUGGAAUCUCCAUCUCUGAAGGAUAUCCAAUAUGCAACUUCACACUAUCUUCAUCAACCUACUCUAGCUCAUCAAGGGAGCUAGGCUAGCUCUUCUUCAGAGGUGUCUCUAGUCUUAGCCUUUCUAUGAUCCAGUAACUUUUCUAAACAUCCUCACAGUGGGAUUUAUCAUGCUUUCAAUUUAUCACUGUGAAAUUUUGAAGGGAAUUUUCUUGCUUGCAAGAAAAAGGGAUUCCCAGAUUGCCCUGUUAUCCUGAUCUGCUUUUCAGAUAUUCUGUAAGUGAUUCCUAAAUAUUUUUCUAAGGUAUCCCAAAUCCCUUUACCCACAGUAAGACUUUUUUUUUAGAAAAAGGGUCCACAAAGCCUUUGCAGAAAUGUGUGGGCCUCUUCUGCAUUUUUUGAAAUCGGCUAAAAUGCCUGGUUGGUUGGUGAUCUUGUUUUUUAUUCAGUCUCAAUAUUGAUAAGGUUCCAUGUAACAAUAACUUCACCAAGAGAUACUCAAUGAACUUAAAAAAAGUUUUUAAUAUAAAGGUUAUAUUAUCAAAUGGUGGUUUGAAAGAACUAAAUAGGAUUACGAAGAUUAUCCUUUUUUAACAAUGCCUUAAAUUUUUAUCUCCUUAUCUCUUUCUCAUUGCUCUCUCUCUCAAGACAUUAUGGUUUAUUGUGUCUCCACUAGGUACCUUGCAUAUGAUUUACACACUGAAUGAAUCUGCUUUCAGAGCAAGGUAAUGAUAUAAUAUCCCCAUUUAUAUUCAGAGCAGUCAACACUUUCUAUCUCUUUGAAUAAUAAAACCACCUGCAUUUAAUAUACAUGGAAAAAUGGGAAGGCAAAUAGCAGAUAUAGCACAAUCACAUAAGUGUAAUCAGAUAAAAUAUCACAAUAUUAGAGCAGAUCAGCAUCUGGUAAUGACUUGAAUUUUAAAAGACUGACAAACAGCAUGGUCUAAAGCAAUCAGGCAUACCUCAUUCAGAGCUACUUAUCCCAGAUUUGAUUGCUCCUCUCAUAUGUUUCUGGCAGAUUAAACAUUCAGGCUUUCUUAUUUUAACUCUUCCUGUGCUGUGCCUCUUUUGGUGGAAAACCACUUGUCUUUUACCUCUUUUUUUCCAGAGUGAGAAAGCAACAUCAAAUUAAAGGAGAGGAGGAAUGUGCCCUGCUGCCCUGGCUGGUUGUAGUAAAUAGAGCCAAGCCCUUCUGCAGUGAUCAUGCAGUCACACAUCCAUCUAUGUCCUCUGCAGCUGCUGCCAGGGCUUUGGGAUCCAUGAUAUGUAGUGGAGAACUACUAGAAACUGAAAGGACACUUCUUUUGUGUUUGGCAAUCUCUGGAUGAGUGACUUGUGGAAGACUUUAUUGGUGCAUUCAACUGCACUCAGUGGCACCCUGAUGCCCUUUAGGACAUCCUGCAGAUUCAGAAAUACAAACAAUACAAUUCAAGCAACAUCGAAGUAAAGGUGGUGCUCUAUAGGACUGGGAUAUUGCCUGUCCUCUAUUUCUAUGCAUCUGUCAAUUGCAAGUCUUUGCUGUUAAUGCAGGUGCUGGGGCAGGAGCCAAAAGUCAUGUUAGGAUGCAUGUUCUCCUCUCUUUCUCCUCCCUCUCCCUAUCCCAUCACCUAUCUCUAUUCCUUACCAUCUCCCUCUCUUUCACAGCUUGCUUUAAUGCAGGCAUCAGUGAUGAGGAGCUGCUUGAAUUUCUUAUUUCUGAUUUUGCAUCCCAGGCAGUGCUACUUCCAGGAAUCAUAUCACUUGCCUCACCUCUUGGGUAUGGGGAGCUCAUUUGCUUCUGAUUAAUGAGCUUGUGAUUGGACUUUGCAUAGAACAAAUUGAUUGACUGUGUCUCCAGAGUAUAUUGGGAGCCACAUGCUUUCCCCUGAACAAAAUGCUGUGCAAACCUUCUCCCCACCCCCUCUUUUCUUUUACAUCACAGGACUGUGCUUACUGUGGCAGCAGAAGACCUUUUGCUAUGGCUAAAACCAUGCAACAGUAGAGGCAUUCUUAUGAGGAAGAAAGGGAAUAUUCCACAGCUAUGUUUUUUCCCCUUUGACCACACCUGAGGUUAUGUAAUACCUCAGAUAUUUUGCAUGUAACUGUGAGAGAGAUUCUACAAUCAGAGAUCAGCGUUCUUUGUAAAUGUAAAACCUGAAAACAAAUGGUGCAAUUCCCCAUGUACAUGGUUAAUAGUAAGAUGCACCAAUUCUAGAAUAAAAGAUUUUGAAGAGGAGAUGUGCACCUUGGAGAGCAACAUCAUCCUAUUAAUGACAAGGCUUUUUUUAUAUUAGCACAGUUUAAGUGGUCAUUUUACUCAUUGCUCUUCAAUAACAUUGAGGCUUCUUUUCAUGAGAUGCAGUCUGAACACCAUUCUGUCUCCCAUGAGCUGGCACAUGUGAAAUAAGAGCCCAUGAUCCUCACCAAUAACUGCAGAACUAGAAAAUGACUGUUUCUUGUCCUUUCCUGCUUUCUGGGUUAAGGGUGAAGAAAAAGAGAUCUUAGACUCCCAUUUACAGCUUAGACCUAACAUAGCUCUUCCUGUAAAAGUCUUCCCCUAUGAUUCCCUCACCUUUUUAGAUGCAGCAUUUUGUUACCUGCUGCCUCCUGAAGAGUGAACAGACAGGGAGUGGGGAUGAGGCUUUACUGUCUUCCUUGGCUGAUGAUGUACUCUUACACCAUCAGAUAGAGAGAAAGGGAUAACAGAGCUGAACCAGUGAUCAGGAAGUUCAAAGACCUGGAACUCAUUAAACUCGAUUUAUCUUAUACAAACCCAAUUCAACUAGGGGAAAAAAAGAUAAACACUCAUGGAAGGUAUGACCAAAGUGCCACCACAAAAAAAUAGCAGAGCAAAGAAAAGAAGUUAAAAUGUUGUACUGCUUCCUGUCAUAUGUUUAAACUUUGUGAAACACAUAUAUAGACAUAUUUUUAACUUUUUUUUAAAAAAACAUGGAUUUCUUAAGUUUGGAGAAGGAUGCUCAAUGCAGUUCUCACAGUGAAUUCGCUGUCAGGACAGUAUAUUCUUGUACUGCUUCCUUACUGCAGUGGAUCAAUCACCAAAUACAUUAGGCAUCCAUUGUGUAAAAGAAAAAUAGAUGAAGGAGGAUUUGUCAUAAAUUCUUUCUUUGUAUUGGAAGACAUGUGGCACAGAGUUGAGAUAUAGUCUGUGUUUUCUUCUGCCUUCCAUCCCUUAAUGCUUCUGAUUCAAGUUUCAUUUUACACAUAUAUUUAUGAUAUUCCUUUGGUUUGCAGUGCUUGGUUACAAGGACUUUGUCUUUCACCUGUCAGUGCUGUUGACUGCAUUACACCUGCCCUGGACUGCAGGGGAAUCAGCUUUGGGGGGCCCAAUAUGAAGUUACUGCUGCGACUGGCCACAGCUUGUUCUUGGUACAAGAAUAUGUUACCAUUUUUAAAAACUUACAAAUACCAACCAGAACACUAAAUGUCUUUAGCCAUGGCCUACCAAAAUAAAGAGUAUGAAGCCCAGGCUGCAAUGGAAUAAGACACAAAUCUUUUACUUUUACACUGGAAAAAGUUCUAACUAGUGAAACAUACUGUAUUCAGAACAUUCACACUAUUUUUUGGUUUAAAGGAUGGAAAGGGAGUUGAAUAGAGUCAAACUCUACCAACAUUUUUUCUAUUUCUAAGGCAUAUAUGUCUAAUUUCUCCCCUUUCACAAGAUAUUUUUUCCCUGUACUCAGCACUAGUUAGACUGCACCUUAAAUACUCUGUGCAGUUCUGGGCCCCUCAAUGGAGGAUGGACAUUGAGAUGAUGGAACACACCCAGAGGAGGACAACAAGGCUGGUGAAGAGCCUGGAACAAAAGCCCGAUGAAGAACAGCUUUGGGAUUUGGGGUUUUUUAGUCUGGAGAAGAGAAGGCUCAGGGGAGACCUUAUCACUCUCUCCAGCUGCCUGAAAGGGGAUUGGAGAUUGUAGCCAGCUGAGGAUGGGCCUCUUCUCUCAGGCAACUUGUGAAAAGACAAGAGGACACAGUCUUAACUGCACCAGUUUAAGCUAGACAUUAGAAAAAAAAAAUCUUUACAGAAAGAGUCAUUAGGCAUUGGAAUGGGCUGCCCAGGGAAAUGGUGGAAUUACUGACUCUGGAGGUGAUUAAGAAAAGAACAAUGUAGCACUCAGUUCACAAGGUCAUGUUUAACAGUAGGCUGGACUUGAUGAUCUCCAAGGUCUUUUCCAACCUAGUGAAUUCUGUGGAUCUGUGACUUUCUCUUUUGCUUUUCCUUUAUAGGCUGAAAACAUUAAGUAUGUGUUUGGUUUGCCUCACAACUUGGGGCUAACUUUAGGCCUGGAUUUAAGGUUGAUUUAGGGGUCCAGCAGGACCACUCAUGGACAAAAGUCCCAGUGCUGAAGGAAUCUAGGCACAGGUUUCCAAAGACAUGGAACAUGGCAGACCUUCUUGCACCAUCUGAUACAAGCCUCAUCCUUUACCUGGUGUUGGAUGCUCACUGUCACGACACAAAAAUCCUGUUUGAAUUCUACAUGGAGUAUGAAUGGUUCAGCUCUUGUCAGCAGGAGUCAAUAUGCAAUUUACACUCAUUUACAAUUAAACUCCAUAAGAAACUCUAUCACACUUUCUUUUCCAUGCUAAGGCAUAUAAAUUAGCAAUCAACAAAAAGAUGCUGAAACUUUUGAGAUAUAAGUUACCAGCACUGUCUGGUUGGGCUUCGACAUGCCCCUGAGUUCUCUGCUGUCCAGAAGCUGUAAAUUCAUCAGCUCUAUCAUGGCCUCAAAUCAAACGGACUCCUUGGAUGGCUGCUAAUCUAAGAUCACAGGUAGAAUGGUCAAUUUGGCUUUUUAGGAAUUUUUUCCUUCCUGCAUAGCACUGUUGUGAGAAUGCAUGGAAUGCAGUAUACAUUAUAAAUAA